AGGGAAUAUUGCUCAAUGGGCGAAAGCCUGAAGCAGCAACGCCGCGUGGAGGAUGAAGGUCUUCGGAUUGUAAACUCCUUUUCUAAGAGAAGAUUAUGACGGUAUCUUAGGAAUAAGCACCGGCUAACUCCGUGCCAGCAGCCGCGGUCAUACGUAGGGUGCAAGCAUUAUCCGGAGUGACUGGGCGUAAAGAGUUGCGUAGGCGGUUAGUAAAGCGAAUAGUGAAACCUGGUGGCUCAACCAUACAGACUAUUAUUCGAACUCACUAACUCGAGAAUGGUAGAGGUAACUGGAAUUUCUAGUGUAGGAGUGAAAUCCGUAGAUAUUAGAAGGAACACCAAUGGCGUAGGCAGGUUACUGGACCAUUUCUGACGCUAAGGCACGAAAGCGUGGGGAGCGAACC
rnacentral:rRNA from 1 species